AUUGAACGCUGGCGGCAGGCCUAACACAUGCAAGUCGAGCGGAUGAAGGGAGCUUGCUCCUGGAUUCAGCGGCGGACGGGUGAGUAAUGCCUAGGAAUCUGCCUGGUAGUGGGGGAUAACGUCCGGAAACGGGCGCUAAUACCGCAUACGUCCUGAGGGAGAAAGUGGGGGAUCUUCGGACCUCACGCUAUCAGAUGAGCCUAGGUCGGAUUAGCUAGUUGGUGAGGUAAAGGCCUACCAAGGCGACGAUCCGUAACUGGUCUGAGAGGAUGAUCAGUCACACUGGAACUGAGACACGGUCCAGACUCCUACGGGAGGCAGCAGUGGGGAAUAUUGGACAAUGGGCGAAAGCCUGAUGCAGCCAUGCCGCGUGUGUGAAGAAGGUCUUCGGAUUGUAAAGCACUUUAAGUUGGGAGGAAGGGCAGUAAGUUAAUACCUUGCUGUUUUGACGUUACCAACAGAAUAAGCACCGGCUAACUUCGUG
rnacentral:rRNA from 1 species